rnacentral:rRNA from 1 species
CGAGCAAUCUGCCCUUCACAUCGGAAUAACCAUUGGAAACGAUGGCUAAUACCGAAUAUGACUUCGGAUCGCAUGAUCUGAAGUGGAAAGCUCCGGCGGUGAAGGAUGAGCUCGCGGCCUAUCAGCUUGUUGGUGAGGUAAUAGCUCACCAAGGCGAUGACGGGUAGCCGGCCUGAGAGGGUGACCGGCCACACUGGGACUGAGACACCGGCACGA